GACGUAGGGCGCGAGCGUUGUCCGGAAUUACUGGGCGUAAAGCGCGCGUAGGCGGCUUUGCAAGUCGAUUGUGAAAUCCCCAGGCUUAACCUGGGAACUGCAUUCGAGACUGCAUAGCUAGAGUAUGGGAGAGGGAAGUGGAAUUUCAGGUGUAGCGGUGAAAUGCGUAGAUAUCUGAAGGAACAUCAGUGGCGAAAGCGACUUCCUGGACCAAUACUGACGCUCAUGUGCGAAAGCGUGGGGAGCAAACAGG
rnacentral:rRNA from 1 species